CAAUGCUGCAAGUUGGAAUCAUUUCAGCCUACCAUUUCAAGAAAUUAGAUACAUAUUGGUAUAAAAGGUUGAAAAGGGCUUUUGCCUCAUAGUAUGAAAUUUUGCAUACUAACAUCGCAGCCAGCUGCUGCUUCCAUGAAAGAAGCAGCUGAAAGCAUUCCCUGAGGAAAUAAGUCAAUGGAGAACCGACAAGCAGUAACAGCUGGAUUCAAUCACCCCCUAAAAGGCAUAUUCUUCAUAUUUAAAAUUAAAAAAAAAAAAUAAAAAUGGAAAAAUAAUAACUAAUACCUUGAAG
rnacentral:lncRNA from 1 species